UUGACAAUCCUUUAGGGAAUGACCUGGUC
rnacentral:piRNA from 1 species